rnacentral:lncRNA from 1 species
GAACUUCCUGACCCAGGAAUCGAACAGGGGUCUCCUGCACCGCAGGUGGGUUCUCUACCAAGCUGAGCUACCAGGGAAGCCCCCAAGGUACCUGGCCCAAGAAUUUUCCCCUGUCAUCUCUACGAUGAGCUGCUACAUGGAGACACCUGGAGACCAGCUUACCGUAUGCUCUUGAGUAAGAGCCCAGAGUUGCUGAGUUUCAACAUUUCUACCGAUUUAAAGAAAGAAGAGGAGAGAGAGGACAUUUUCUCAACUUCUGAGAUUCUGUUGGAAAGGAGAAAAGGCUGGAAGGAGGUGAGGCAGAAGCAAAAAGAGGGGAUAGAAGGACGUCGUGGUACACUCUUGGUAUGGCCAGUGGGAGCCCGGCGUUGUGGUCAUGGCAAGGCAUUUUCCCACUUUUCCCCACACUAGUCUCCCCCAGGAAUAGCAUCAUCACUGUUUCUUAAACACACUGUCCUUCAUCUGAUCACUUGCCACAGUUGCCUUUCCACUCUAACUUUCUGAAUUCCACCUAUUUUCAGGGUCCAGUUGAAUGGUCCCGUUCCAAGCAUUUCCCACCCACUCUCUUAUCGUCUUCUCUACCCCUUCCAUAACGUGGGUUUAGGAAAGAAACUCGUCUGAAUUUUGGCUCAGUAGUCAAGGAUUCACCUGCGAUGCAGAGACGCAGGAGGCACAGGUUCCAUCUCUGGGUCGGGAAGAUCCCCUGGAGAGGAAAUGGCAACCCACCCCAGUAUGCAUGCCUGGAAAAUUCCAUGGACUCGGGAGCCACACAUGCUACAGUCUAUGAGGUCACAGAGUUAGACGCGCUGAAGUGACUGAGCACGCAGUCUGCAUAACUUACUUGGAAACUGAGGAGCAACAGAUGGACGGGACAUGAUGCUUUUCUGUGGGUGCUAUAUAGACGUUCACUAAAGUACAAUGUCUUGCAAGCCCUUUAUGUUUCAACGUUUACAGCUGUGCUGGACCCAGUGCACAUCUGCUCUGUGAACUCCUGCUGGGUGAACAUAUAGAUUAAUGACUAAAUGAAUGCAUGAAAGGGUGCCCUGAGCUAACAGUUGCACAUAAAUGCAAGAAGCAUGAGGAUGCACAGCAAAGUAUCUGAGCAGGAGCUUUUCCCUGGCCCAGCACGCUCCUUCCCACAGAGUUCUC